rnacentral:snoRNA from 1 species
UCACCAUAGCACAUACCCUCUGUUCCUGCUUUUAGAGGGCAGAUUGGAACAUGAUGAUUGAAGUUUGCAUGAUUUGUGAUUAGCAUCUCUGCAUAAUCAGGACUUAUGGCACCCUGAUUUGAUUGCUCUUAUUUGAU